AGUUUCCGUGAGGUUUUUUCAGUGGGAUUAUUUGUGUCCCUGUGGCUCUUCAGGGAGCUUGCAGAAUUCUAGCUAAAGAUAAGAAGGGCAUCGCUUCAAAUGGGAGGCCAAUCAAUGCAGCAUUAGGAAGGCUUCAUUCAGCUCAGCACCACCUUGGGUAAGUGCAAAACUGAGUUUUCAGCUACUGUCUGCUGACAGGCAAAACAUUUCUUUGGCAAUGAAGAGUAAACAGACACCUGUCUGGAUUUGACACUCCUGGGGAAUAUAAAGAUGAAUUAGUAGCUGCCUCUCCCUUGAGGAUCUUACGUGGGUGCUCUUGUUAUCUCUUGCUAUAUAAUAAACCACCCCAAAAUUCAGUGACUUGAAAUAAUGACAAUCAUUUAUUUUGCUUAUGAAUCUGCCAUUUGGGGUUUCCAGAGUUACUCUUCUCAGAAGCCCAGGUUGAGUCUAAAAGGCUUCUUAUGACCUGGCCUCAGAGGUCUAUCAUUCAGGCAAAUCAUUAAGGCCAGACCAUAUUCAGGGGGAGGGGAGUUGUCCUCCAGGUCUCCAUGGGAGUAGCAAAGAAUUGGCACAGCACUAAGCCUGUUAUGCAUGUUUUCCCUAAUGUUCACAACCACCCUGGGAUGAGAAUGUUACAAAUGAAAAAAGUGAGCCGUGGUGGCUCAACUAACUUGCCUAUGCCACUCACGUCCCAAGUGGCAGGGUAGAUUCAAACCUAGUACUCUGGUCUUGCUAGAAGAGAACUUGUGGGUCUUUGGUUCAAUUUCCUUAAUUUUCAAAUAGGAAAAACAGACCAACAAAAAACAACUAAACACAAAGAACGAAAAGAAAAGCCUGUUUGGUGUAAAAUUUGACUUUAGGUCAAAUUUGACUUUAGGUCACUUAUGAGUUUCCAAGGAGGAGCUGUGAAAGAGUUCAGGCAGCCAGAUCUUUCAAGUCUGGGCAUGGUUAUGUUGAAUGUUUUUAGAUGAGGUAAUGCUGUAGAUAGUCAACAGAUAGCAUGUUACUGUGCUCUCCAAUCGCUGUCAAUUUCAGGAAACUAUAGGAACACUAGGAACAGACGCCUAAAUGACUUUGACCUCAAGUGCAAGUACUUAGGGUAAAAUUAUCUCACACUGUGAUGUAAAUUUCUGCUAUGCUCUGUUUAAUUGUAUUUUAUUUUCAGAUUUCAUCAGGUUUGACAUAAAUGUAUUUAUAAUGAUUGCAUUAACUGGGAUUUGAAGCUCAAAAUGAAUAUGCUUUUUUUUUUUGAGAUAGGGUUUUGCUCUGUCACCCAGGCUGAUAAUAUACCUAUAAAAAGAAAGAAGGAAGUUUUAAAAUGUCUUGUGUUAGAGAGGGUUGCUUGGGAUGCCAUUGUUUUUAGAUUCACCAGCACUUAGCCACUGGAAGUCUUAGACGGUUCACGUAAGAAGAAAUAAGUCUUUAUUGUAAAGGAAAUUAAGCUUUUCUGAUGGCAAAAUAUGGACUUGUGUCAUACUGUUGAUAUGGAUACACACUAUGGGUCUAUGGUCUCUCUUUUUUUUUUGCAAUUGAAUGGUGAAGAAAAGCAAUUUCUUCUUUCAAAGAAAGAAGAUAGAAGUGUAGAUAGUGUGCUGAGCACUGCAGGGAAAAAGAUAAAGAGAGAAAAAGAGCAAGAGAGACAGCCAGCCUUGGCUAUCAAAUUACUUCCUUUUACAGGAAUCAAAUCUAUAAUGGAAGAGAUAUUGCCGGGUUUUUAUACUUGGUGAAGUUGUUGAAAACCUCAAAAAACAGAGACGAUUGAAGAAGUCUAGUCUCAAAUUAAGAGAUCCAGUUGUAAUUACUGUACAAACUUGGAGAAUAUCUGGAAUAGAUUGAUCAGUGACUGCAAUAGCUAAGAAUUUGUGUAUAUAAUGUCUCAAUACACAAAGGGGUUGUGUGGUGAGUGCUCUGUAUGUUUGAGAGUGUAUUUCAGUGAGUUCAUUUCUUUGUAUCUGCCUGCAAGUGUUGUUAGCAAUUAAUGAUAUUAGGGUUUUUGUUCCUGUUUUUCAACAAAAUACUCUUUUUAUUUAUAUUUUUUUGAGACAGAGUCUUGCUCUGUUGCCCAGGCUGGAGUGCCGUGGUGCAACCUCAGCUCGUUGCAACCUCCACCUCUCAGGUUCAAGCAAUUCUCAUGCCUCAGCCUCCCUAGUAGCUGAGACUACAGGCAUAUGCCACCAUGCACAGCUAAUUUUUGUAUUUUUUAGUAGACAUGGGUUUCACCAUGUUGGCCAGGUUGGUCUCGAACUCCUGUCCUCAAGUGAUCCACCUGCCUCCACCUCCCAAAGUGCUGGGAUUGCAGGUGUGAGCCACUGCACCUGGCCAGAAUACUCAUUUUUUAAAAAGGAUAAACGAGGAGGAAAGUAAUCUGUUUGCCUCUAAUUAUAAUGGGAAACAGCAUAAUUUGAAUAAGACCAAAGCUCACAUUGAGAGCUGUGAUCUCUGCUUUUCAAUAAACCCAGAAUAUCCAUCAGAAAGUUUCCAUCUAGAUUAUUAUAGAUAUAUUUGUUUUAACUCUGAGGACAGCAUACUUGUUUUCCAUGUCAUACUCAUUUGUAAUUUUAAAGUUCUAGAAUUUGAUUCCUUUCUCUUCUGACACUAAGAACAGUGCCUUGAGCAUAGGUGUUACGAAGGGUGUGCUUCAGGGAAGAGGUAAUAGGAUUUUUGUACAUUUUAAACAGUUGCUACUCUUGUGCUAAUCACGGUUGAAAUUGUCUGUUGACCUAAAUUGUCUACCAAGAGCCAGUUAAAGAAAUGUUUGUGCUCUGGGAGCUAGGAAGAAGGCCCUGCGAUGUUCUCCCAUAGGUGGCAAGGAAAAACUUCCUCUUUGCCCUCUGCAGGUUCACUGAAAAUAAACUGACAAAAGGCAGAUUAACAGAAAAAAAUGCAUACAAAAUGUAUUAAGAGGCACACAUGUGCACUGGAGUCAUACAAAAUAUGAAAACUCAAAGAAAAGACCAGAUGGUUGAUUCUUUUGUUAAAUCAAGUUUAGUCCAAAGCUGCCUUCUUACAUAUUUUAAGUUUGGCCUAAAGAUUUCUCUGUACAUCGUGAACUAUAACCUAAAUGCAGUUGUAAACAGACUGUAGCCUACUCUUGUGCCAAUCACAGAGGUUUGGCCAAUCAAAGGAGGUCAACUGUUCAAACCGUGUUUAAAUAAGGCAGAUGCCAGGCUGUAACCAACUUGGCUGUUUCUGUACCUCAUUUCUAUUUUUCUGUACAUCUCUUUCCAUUUUUUUUUGGGACAGGGUCUCACUCUGUCACCUAGGCUGGAGUGCAGUGGAGCAAUCUCGGCUCACCACAACCUCUGCUUCCUAGGUUCAAGAGAUUCUUGUGCCUCAGCCUCCCAAGUAGCUGGGAUUUUAGACAUGCACCACAAUACCUGGCUAGUGUUUCUAUUUUUAGUAGAGACGGGGUUUCACCAUGUUGACCAAGCUGGUUUGAACUCCUGGCCUCAUGUGAUCCACUGGCCUUGGCCUCCCAAAGUGCUGGGAUUACAGGCAUGAGCCACCAUGCCCGGACCGUCACUUUCCUUUUUCUGUCCACAAAUCUUCUUCCACUAUGUGGCUGUGUUGGAGUCUCUGAGCCUAUUCUGCCUCAGGAGGCUGCCUGAUUCAUGAAUCAUUCUUUGCUCAAUUAAACUCUGUUAAAUUUAAUUUGGCUAAGGUUUGUUCUUUUAACACUUUUAUACCAUCUUGAGGUUACAGAAAGAAUAGAUGCACAGAGCAUGGCAAGACAGGUACUGGGAGGGAAAGAAGAGGAAAGGCAAGGCUGGCAAAGGUGGCCUUGUUAUUGUAGAUGAUACCUCACAGGUAGCAGCUCUCAGAAAGUAUAAGUUACUGUUAAACCCCCAAAGGUGUGAGACUUUCAGUCACUUUCUCUCGUGAGCCAGUCCUUCCUAGAUCUAGACAAGGGAGUGAGCAGAGAAAGCCUGCCUGUUGAUUUCACGGAUGGAGAUCUUCUCUAGAGAUGCAAAUCUCCUCCACAAAAGUCAGCUUUUCAGGGCUAUUCUGUCUGCAGGCCCUCUGAAUAGCCAUCUCAAAACAUGUCAAAGAAAUAUUUUGGGGUGAAUAUUUUUAUUUUCCUCUAGUCCCCCAUUUGAAACUUUUAUUUUUAGAGUGUCACAUAUUAAAGCCCAAGUUGGUAGGUUUGGGGAGAUUUGGGUUAGAGAUUGUGAGAUACGAAGUUGGUAAAAGGGGAAAAGAAAUCCCUAUUGAAACAAGCAUCCCACAUCUUCUUGAAUCAGUCUCUUAGUCAUGAGAAUAGGUCCGUUCAGUUAAACAGUUGUGUUCCCUAUGAUGGCAUUGCAGAUGGGCUCUUGUAAGGGCCAAGGAAAACCCCCCCCCCCCUUUGACCUCUGAAGGAUCACUGAAAAAUCACUGACUAAAGGCAGGUUAAUAGAAGAAAAGGCAUAUAAAUUUAUUGGGUCAUAGUUUUAUGUGACACAGCAGCCUUCUAAUGAAGACCUAAAGAUGCAGGGAAAGUUGUCCAUUUUUAUGCUAGGUUUAACAAUGUAUGGACAGC
rnacentral:lncRNA from 10 species